CCUACGGGAUGCAGCAGUGGGGUAUAUUGCACAAUGGGGGAAACCCUGAUGCAGCGACGCCGCGUGUGGGAAGACGGUCCUCUGGAUUGUAAACCACUGUCCCCAGGGACGAAGAUGACGGUACCUGGGGAGGAAGCUCCGGCUAACUACGUGCCAGCAGCCGCGGGAAUGCGUAGGGAGCGAGCGUUGUCCGGAAUUACUGGGUGUAAAGGGCGCGUAGGCGGGACUGCAAGUUGGGGGUCAAAUCUACCGGCUCAACCGGUAGCCGCACUCAAAACUGCAGUUCUUGAGUGAAGUAGAGGCAGGCGGAAUUCCUAGUGUAGCGGUGAAAUGCGGAGAUAUUAGGAGGAACACCAGUGGCGAAGGCGGCCUGCUGGGCUUUUACUGACGCUGAGGCUCGAAAGUGUGGGGAGCAAACAGGAUUAGAUACCCUUGUAGUC
rnacentral:rRNA from 1 species